rnacentral:lncRNA from 1 species
CUUUGGUGCUUUUCAGCUUCCAAGAUCUUUUCAUACAUUUUUCCGAUCCUGGUAUUGGGUCAUUUUCUUGAUUUCUGCAUUACUUCGGUCAAAACCACUGGGCACUGUCACCUCAAUUAGCAACGCGUUCUUUUUGGGGGGGGGACUAAGUACUAUAUCCGUGCAUGUGCGUGCAUCGGAACCUUUUUACCAUUUGAGGUUUUGUUCAAAUUUUCAACAAACCUUUAUUUUGAGAAUGUGGAGAACACAAAUUAAUAAAUUUGACGUUUCUUUGUUUUUUCGCUGUUGUUUUUGUUUUAGUUCGCAUACAAAGCAGACGUGGACAACCUUUGCAUUUUGAGAUGCUUUCUAUUUUUGUUUUCUGGGAAUAUGUACUUGAUCUUGCGACAUGUUUCAUUUUACAGAUUUCGUUGGAAUUGAAAGCCUUUCUGCAUCUUUUGAGGCUUCCAUUGCCACAGCUGCAAGAAAAAGGAUAUGAGAAACUGCCUGAAAGCUGUUACACAAAACCAUGGCUUAAAGCUAUGAAAGAGGUCAUACCGAAUAAAAAUGUUCCCAAAUGGGAAAUGGACACUCCAACAUAUGAAAUGGAAGAUUACUUUGCAAAGAUUUUGAAGGGUUUGAAAGAAGAAGACUUCGCUUUGAGUUCAAGUUUUUCUUUUGAAGAUUAUAAUGAAGAAACAUUUUUUCAAUUGCCAGACCAUAUUGUUUCUUCAAAUAAUGAAAAAAGUGCAAAAAUUGCCAAAGAUGGUAUUUCAUGGCUCGAGUUUGGGAUUGAAGAAUUAUUGUUGAAUGACUGGAGUAAAGAGAUGCUUCUCAAGGUUUCCAUCCAAAAAACUGUCCUUGCUCGAGUUAAAAAAGUCACUUUACGCGAUCCUUUUUAUAAAGAAAUCAAUGCAUUGAAAUUGAUGAAGAAACAAAUAAGGUAAGGUGUUGCUUGCUUCUGAUCAUCAAUUUUGAUAUCUGGGAUUGUUAUUAAAUGGAAAAAUUCAAUUCUACAGGGUGUUUCAUAAAAAAACAAACGCAACCCAAAGUUGUUUUUACAAUUGUUUAAUUUUUCCAUUGAAGCCACAUGAAACUUAUACAAAAUAAUCUUUGUAAUAAGUAACUCCAAAAUGAAACUUGUGAUUUCAUAAGAUAUGUUCUAAAUGGCUGCCCUGCUGCAGCAGACACAAAUGGAUCUUCCUGGUGAAGUUGUCUCACCCGGCUGCAUUCCUGAACCAGAAUAGCAUUGAUGUUUGUAGCAAUUGCAUUUUUGAGGUCAUCAAUAGUCUGAGGUCUACCAUGGUACCUUUAUCCUUCAGGUAACCCUAAAGAUAGAAACUCAGGUGGGUUGAGGUCUGGAGAAUGUGGCGCCCAUUCACCAUCUGUCAUUCUCUAGAGACUAUUCGAUCACUGAAUUUCUGUUAUAGCCACUGUAUUGAUCUGUUGAAAGUGUGAGGUGUAGCUCCAUCUUGCUGAAACAAAAGCACAGCAAUGUCAAUGUAGCGCUUCCUCACUAAUGCAACCCAGAACUUCUGGAUUACUUUCAAGUACUGUUUAGUGGUUACGGUUCCUGAUUUCCCUUAUGACAACUCAUGUCGUGCAUUUCUGGCAGUGCAACAGCCUUUAAAGAACUUCAUCAGGUGAACUAGAAUCCCAAAACAUGUUAAUUUUAGAGUUAACAUCACCACUUAAAAGAAAGUGGGCCUCGUCAGAAAAUCACACAUGACUCAGAAAAUUUGGAUCCCGAAGCAUUUUUUCCUCAAACCAUUCACACAUCAUCACAUGAAGUUGUUUAUCAUUGUCUCUUAGUUUUUGCUUCACUUGUAUGUGACACGGGUAUAUUUUAGCUCACCUUGACUUUAGUUUGGUGAGCUUAUGCAAUCGAGCAAUGUCCGUAUGUCAAUCAGUCAUUGAGUCUGUAAACACUUCAGUCAUUAUUGCUUGAAACAAACACACGAUCUUGAUGAAACUUGACCACAUGCUUCAUAUAUGAUGCCUAAUGAUGGUGUAAUGACCACAUCAAAAUCUGCGCUCAUUAACUGGUUUAAAUCAAGCCUAAAACGCUAAAAAAAAUUCCUGCCAUAAUCUACAGAUGGUGAUGCAUCAGUACACAGCUAUGCCUUUAGCCAAAAACAUGACCUGGAACCUGUAAAACUUGACCUGUAAACAUGGAUUGCUGUAAUUAGCACUGAGAGGGCUUCCAUUCAACCAAUCACAUGACCAGAGUCUGUGCAUGAACAAAAUUUUACGAUUUUAUGACUUAAUUGACUAUUAGACCUGAUCCUGAUGAGCUUCAUGACCCAUGGUCCUAUUUUUAGUAUCCUACUUCACUUGUAUCCUGCUUCAGAAUUUGUUGUGUACCAUCGGACCCUGACAUUGGUGGGCGAUACAUUCCUGAAAAAUGCUGCAAAUGUCGAAUCCACAAAUGUCGGGGCAUUGUUUUAAUUGGAAAAAGGGGGAGAGGUUCCCAGCAGUUUGUGAUUCAUAAGGAAAAAUCAAAAAUUUCAUGAAAAACCGUGAAUACGCCUGCAAAAAACUGUGAAUACGUGAAGUUCAAUGGUGCGAAUGUUGAAGCAGGUCAGAAAAACCAUGAAUACGUCUGCAAAAAAACUACGAAUAUGUGAAUCACAGGGCCGCAAAUGUCGAAGCAGGUCACAUUUUAUGAACUGCGAAUGUAGCACUAUAAUUCAUGGAUUUAUGGCUGAUCAUGCCUAUUUUGCAAAACUCGAGAUAAUACGUGUACACCUUAUUUUGCAAAAUAGGUCAUUACUUGGUUGUUUUUUUUUAAACACAAUAUAAAGUGUCAUCCAGGCUGGGUUGUGAUGUGUAAAGGUCAAAGAUAAAGCCUGGCCUGGAGGACAGCGUGUUGCAUUUAGGUACUCCUGAUGUGAUUUCUAGAGCUCUUUUGAUUUUUUUUAUUCUCCUUGACUACAUGAUCAGAUGAACCAUUUAGAGCAGAGAAAGAGCAGGAGAUAUUUGUGGGGGAGCUUGUCAUCCCCAAUUUGAGAAGGGAGGAUUUUGUAUUGGGAGAAAUCCGAUUGGGAAAGUUCACAGAUUGAGUCAGUCCCAUAGUGUCACAGAAGUCAUUUGCUGAAGUGACAUGGCUGGUGAGAGAGGAACACCAACACCCAGCCAAUUUUCUUGGUGACAAUUAAAAUCACCACAUAUGAGCAACAGAGAGUUGGGAUGAGUAUUUUGAAGUUGGUCCAUAUUGUCUGAGAAAGAUAUGUAGGAAGCAUAGAGGGUGGUGGGGUGCUGGGGAGCAGAUUUUUGUUGGGGUGGGGCUUAGCAAUUUUCCCAGGCCACUCCAACAUAGUCUUCUGGCUCUGUAGUAUUAUAAAAGCACAAAUUAAGAAAAACUUAGAAGGUACCAUGUGGAAAUGUGUGUGAAUCAAAUCCUGUUAUUCCUAUUGGUUUCUAUUAUUUGAUAUUCCCAUUGGUAUUACAUCUGCAUUGCAUUUCAAUGGAUUAUACAGGCUGACAGAACUUCACUCAGUGAUCGAGUGAUGUUUUACAGCACUUCAAUUUUGGGAUUUACUUUUCCUUUAUUUAAAAAACUGGAAGUGUUGACCGCAAAUUGCUAUUUCACAACCUAUGUCACACUUUCCUUAAUCUAUAACUACUGUAGAUUAUUUUGUGUCCAGGCCAUAUAUUUAAUUUGAUGGAAUGAACAUUGUGACAAUGCUGUUUUGGUGGGCAUAUGACUCGAGGUGUCACUAGCUUCCAAAAAGAUUCCCAAAAGGCCCGUGCCCCCUCGAACCACAGUGACACAUUUGGAAAAUAGGCUCAUCAGUACAUUUCUUGCUUUACAUGAAGGAUAAUGCAGGUGUUCAGAUUAAAGGACUUUUUUGUAUUUCCAAUGAGAUAUAUUUCAAUAUUUGUGAAUUACAAUGACGAAUAAACUGAAAAUAGUAAAAAAUAAUAAUGAUAAAAAAGUAUCUGUUUACAAACUUUACUUGAUUCUGUAAAGGCACAAAUUUACAUUUUAUAUCGACUUUGAGCAUUUCAAAUAUGUUGAACACAAUGUUGCAUGUUUUACUUAUUAAUUAACCCUCACCACCCACGGUUUUAAAGAAGUUAUAUUUGUAAACAGUCGACCUUUAUUUAUUUUUGGGAGCAUCAGUGUGUAUCUUUUCAAAGUGAUCAAUGAUGGCAUCUUCUGACCCAUGCCAUUCCCACCUGUAAUUUGUGGUUGUUCAUGACUCUGACUCCAAAGUCUGAUAUCAUAGCCAAUGGGUUAAAAUAGAUUUUGGGCACAUGUCCCAUGGACCAGUAGCCAACAACACCUCUGCACAUGAUGAGGGUACCUGUAGGAAAUGUACAAUUUAUUUCUUGCCGUUUGUCAUUCUUGUGCAGAGUGAUUGCAGAUUAUCAAAGAAAAUAUUGCACUUCUGAAGAAGAUAGUGCUUUUCCUAUUGAACAAUUCCCCCCCCCCCC